rnacentral:lncRNA from 1 species
UAAAAUGAAAAUAUUUAUUUAUUUAGAGUAUGUUUUUACAGUAUCAAGUUAUGAGGGUCCAAGUAAAAUAUUGGGAAGAACGUAAAGGAUACUUCCUAGGAGUCGCAAAGAAAAACAGAUUCUACAGUAUAAGAAUUGUACCAAGAGGUCAUCAUCGCCUAUAAGCUUAGACUUAAACAUUCCUUCCACACUUGCAUCAAAACAAAUGCAACAUAAACCAAUUACAGCACCAAGAACUGCACAAGCAGCAAUGAUGCCAUGACAGAACAGACCGACCAGAAUCAUAACAUUACAAUCCUAGCACCCUUCCGAAUAAUUCUAACCAUAAGCAUCAACUCCCCUUACCAUUGUUGCAUUGCAAGACCAUCUGCAACAAGCUAUAGGUACUACAUAACCAAAGAAACGGAAAAAAUAAACACACAAAUUUGGCACGCAAAGCUGAUAAGUUAGCUGCAUAAAAUAUGUCACAACAAUAACUCAAAACAUGGGAGAAUCUGAACAGCUAAAGAUGGAAGUUCUGCAGUGUAUUUGGCUCAACACACAAACCAAAACCAGUGGAUUACCUAAUGUUGUAACCCGUAGAACAUCUUCAAACAACAUCUGAUAUGGCUUGGCACACCUUCCAGAAUUGGAUCUGUAGCAUGUGUAUAAAGACAAACCCCGCACCUGUAGCACCCUCAGCAAAUUCUGCUUUUCUAGAUCCCCUUCUUCUUAGCUUCAUAUCCGUUCUGCUGUGAAUUUUCCAGAAUUGGGAGUUAAUAAGUAUCAAAUUCCAUUAAUAUUUCAUAUUAAAAUAUAAUACUAGUGGGUAUUAAUUGUUAAAAUAAGUAUAAAAUAACCCUUAAUUUAUGAAAUUAUACAUUUUUAUAUAUUUUGUGAUUUAAAUUUAAAUAAGAAUGAUUUAUUUCUAAAUUUGUGUUAAUUUUAGAAUUUUAGGGAAGAAUGGACAUACCUGAACAAAAGGAGAAUAUACAAAGCUAAAAAUGGAAAGUUGAAAUGCACCAACAUCUCCUAAGCUGCUCCAAACUCGCAAAAAGCCUGGAUGCCACUAGUGGAUCUCGCUCAAGCGAG